GAGGGUGCGAGCGUUAAUCGGAAUUACUGGGCGUAAAGCGCACGUAGGCGGCUUGGCAUGUCGGGUGUGAAAUCCCGGGCUCAACCUGGGAACUGCAUCCGAAACUGCCUUGCUAGAGUAUGGGAGAGGGAAGUGGAAUUUCCGGUGUAGCGGUGAAAUGCGUAGAUAUCGGAAGGAACAUCAGUGGCGAAGGCGACUUCCUGGACCAAUACUGACGCUCAGGUGCGAAAGCGUGGGGAGCAAACAGGAUUAGAUACCCUGGUAGUCCACGCCCUAAACGAUGACAACUAGAUGUCGGGAGGGUUUGCCUUCCGGUGUCGUAGCUAACGCGUUAAGUUGUCCGCCUGGGAAGUACGGCCGCAAGGUUG
rnacentral:rRNA from 1 species